UACGUAGGGGGCUAGCGUUGUCCGGAUUUAUUGGGCGUAAAGAGCGUGUAGGCGGCCUGGUAGGUCUGCUGUGAAAACUCGAGGCUCAACCUCGAGAUGUCGGCGGAAACCAUCUGGCUAGAGUCCGGAAGAGGAGAGUGGAAUUCCUGGUGUAGCGGUGAAAUGCGCAGAUAUCAGGAAGAACACCUAUGGCGAAGGCAGCUCUCUGGGACGGUACUGACGCUGAGGAGCGAAAGCGUGGGGAGCGAACAGG
rnacentral:rRNA from 1 species